rfam:Canis lupus familiaris chromosome 31, whole genome shotgun sequence.
GUCUACCACCAUACCACUCUGAACAAGCCUUGUCUUAUCUGCUCUUGGAAGCUAAGCAGGGUCAGGCCUAGUUAGUACUUGGAUGGGAGAAACCAAGGUGUAGGUGUUA